rnacentral:rRNA from 1 species
UACAGAGGUCUCAAGCGUUGUUCGGAUUCAUUGGGCGUAAAGCGUGCGCAGGCGGCGCGUUAAGACAGGUGUGAAAGCCCCGAGCUUAACUUGGGAAUUGCGCUUGUGACUGGCGUGCUGGAGUGUGGCAGGAGGGAGGUGGAAUUCCACGUGUAGCAGUGAAAUGCGUAGAGAUGUGGAGGAACACCGAUGGCGAAGGCAGCCUCCUGGGCCAGCACUGACGCUCAUGCACGAAAGCGUGGGGAGCAAACAGG